ACAAAUCACACCAAUCAGAUCAAAACCCAGCUCCGAACCACCAGGUUCGGAAAGCACCCACACCUCAGCCUCGGUAACCACCCCCUGUAUAUGACCCACCUAGCAGCUAUUCACACACAUUCCUUGCGUUUCAACUCUCAAAACCUCUGUUUCAACUUCCAAUACUUUAAAAAAAUUAGGGUUUGUUUUCACUUUCUGAUUCCAUUUUAGCCAGAAAUCAUGUCAGAUCACGAAGAUCACAAGCCUGAGUCGUUAAUCGAGAAGAUAUCGGAGAAAUUACACGAUCAUUCUUCUUCAUCUUCAGAUUCAGAUGACGACAGCAAGAUUUCCGCUAUGAAAUCCAAGGUUUUUCGCCUUUUUGGUCGCGAAAAACCCGUUCACAAUGUCUUCGGCGGUGGAAAACCGGCCGAUCUGCUUCUGUGGAAGGAUAAGAAGGUGUCGGGCGGGAUCAUAGGCGGUGCGACGGUGAUCUGGUUUUUAUUCGAAGUGUUGGAAUAUCAUUUGCUGACUUUGGUUUGCCACAGUCUGAUUCUUACAUUGGCAAUACUGUUUUUGUGGUCAAAUGCCUCGACUUUCAUCCACAAGUCUCCACCCAAAAUUCCAGAGGUCUCGAUUCCGGAGAAGCCUGUUACGGAAAUUGUGUCAUCGUUAAGGAUUGAAAUUAACCGCGGUUUGGCAGCUUUACAUGAUAUUGCUUCAGGGAAAGACUUGAAGAAAUUCCUAUCUGUAAGCUGCAUUUUGCUGCAAUUUUUUUGCAGUUAACUAAACAUGCAUUUGUUUAUUUAUUUAUUUAUUUAUUUAUUUUUUUUAAUAUAUGAUCUUCUUUCAUAUAAAAACUUUAAGGACAAUUACACCAAAAUAGCCGGUAAGCGGGCAACAAGCUGCGCCGCUACCCCUUUUUGAAUAGCGAAACCUAACCUAGUAAAAACGAAACCCCGAUCUCUAGGAGACGAAAUGUUGCUGUGAACAACCCGUUGGACCCGUUCAAGAAAUCUGAUGGCUUCUGGGGCUAGCGAGCCAAAGGUAUCAAAGGCAAAAGGGAUAAAGGAAUGUUGAUUAUCCUCGCAGGCUUUUGCAUGUUUGUCCAUUUUCUUCGCUGCCGCCUUUGCAAUUGCCUGACCAGGGACAAAACCUGUAUCCCGUAAGCCUACAAGGGGGGAAACCCCGGUAAGAUCGACACAUGCGUGUUUACCUGCAUCCCACCCGAAAACUAAAACGUCCGCGGGGCGCAAUGUGGAUCUUCCUUCCCUCGGGUUAUUGCGGGCUUGUGGUUCGUGUCGAUAAUCAGCAACUGCUAUAACUUUUUGACAUUGGUCUACAUAUCACUUGUGCUACUCUUCUCGGUACCCGUGAUCUACGACAAAUUUGAGGAUAAGAUUGACCCACUUGCAGAGAAAGCAUGGAUUGAAAUCAAGAAACAAUACGCGGUACUCGAUGAAAAGGUACUGAGUAAGAUCCCAAGAUCCAUGAAAGAAUUGAAAGAUAAGAAAAAGGCUUGAGAAUGCAAGUUGGCUAGGUGUGUUUUAUAUUAUCUCUAAAAUGGUUGAUUGUUUUUUGGGUCACAUAGGUGUGUGUUUUAUGUUUUAGGGUGGUGGGGUUGAUUGACUCAUGUGCCUAAUAUAAUUUUCUUGUUUUUUUUUUUUUUUUUCAAGUGAUGGGUGAUGUUAUGUUUUAUACAUGGUGUUACAGUUUUUGUUAAUGUGGCACUUUGUUUGAGAAAAAUGAUGAAA